rnacentral:rRNA from 1 species
UCCGUGAGCUGUGCGUCAAGAAAAGCCGCUAUUGUUCAUACCAUACCCGUACCGUAAACCGACACAGGUGGAUGAGGAGAGAAUCCUAAGGCCGGCGGAAGAAGCAUUGUCAAGGAACUCGGCAAAAUGACCCCGUAACUUCGGGAGAAGGGGUGCCUGCGAGAGCAGGCCGCAGAGAAUAGGCUCAAGCAACUGUUUAGCAAAAACACAGGUCUAUGCGAAACCGAAAGGUGAGGUAUAUGGGCUGACGCCUGCCCGGUGCUGGAAGGUUAAGAGGAGAGGUUAGCGGUAACGCGAAGCUUUGAAUUUAAGCCCCAGUAAACGGCGGCCGUAACGAUAACGGUCCUAAGGUAGCGAAAUUCCUUGUCGGGUAAGUUCCGACCCGCACGAAAGGCGUAAUGAUUUGAGCGCUGUCUCGACAAUGCAUCCGGUGAAAUUGAAGUACCAGUGAAGAUGCUGGUUACCUGCGCCAGGACGGAAAGACCCCAUGGAGCUUUACUCCAGUUUGGUACUGGGAUCCGGUACUGCAUGUACAGGAUAGGUGGGAGGCUAUGAAUCGGUAACGCCAGUUGCCGAGGAGCCGCUGUUGGGAUACCACCCUUGCAGUAUUGGGUUUCUAACCAGCCGCCGUGACCCGGCGGUGGGACAAUGCCAGACGGGGAGUUUGACUGGGGCGGUCGCCUCCGAAAGGGUAUCGGAGGCGCCCAAAGGUUCCCUCAGGAUGGACGGAAACCAUCCAAAGAGUGCAAAGGCAGAAGGGAGCUUGACUGCGACACCGACGGGUGGAGCAGGUACGAAAGUAGGGCUUAGUGAUCCGGUGGUAUUAAGUGGGAAUGCCAUCGUUCAACGGAUAAAAGCUACCCUGGGAUAACAGGCUUAUCACUCCCAAGAGUUCACAUCGACGGAGUGGUUUGGCACCUCGAUGUCGGCUCAUCGCAUCCUGGGGCUGUAGUAGGUCCCAAGGGUUGGGCUGUUCGCCCAUUAAAGCGGUACGCGAGCUGGGUUCAGAACGUCGUGAGACAGUUCGGUCCCUAUCCGGCGUGGGCGUAGGAUAUCUGAGAGGAGCUGUCCUUAGUACGAGAGGACCGGGAUGGACGGGCCGCUGGUGCACCGGUUAGACUGCCAAGUCUAUAGCCGGGUAGCCAAGCCCGGAAGGGAUAAACGCUGAAGGCAUCUAAGCGUGAAGCCCCCCUCAAGAUGAGAUAUCCCAUCCGAAAGGAGUAAUCCCCCUUGAAGACGACGAGGUUGAUAGGGCAGAGGUGGAAGUGUGGUAACACAUGGAGCUGACUGCUACUAAUAGGGUGAGGGCUUGACCUA